GUGGAGACUGGGGGCAGGGUAGGUAGGGUGUGGCAGUGAUAGGGUCAAGUACAUCAUAUGUGAUUCAGGUAGGGGCUCAGGAAGUUCUGGCACCUGAAUUGAGGUAAAGAGCAUAAUGCAUCAGCACUUUUCCCAUACUUAUCAAGAAAAAGCUAAAACAUUUAAGAUUUAUAUUACUAUUACUGAUUAUCUUUUCUAAGACAAAAGGAACCAGGUGCAGAAGUAGAACAUAAGAGUCAACAUGGAAUGUGACCACUGAAGCACAGCAUCACAUAGAGACAUUUAAGCCCCCAGAUGUCUGCAGGCCAACAUGACAGCCAUCAGGCCUUACCACAAGAACUUCGAGAAGUGGAGUUUUUCUCCUAACUUCCCCAGGAAGGAGCUGUCUCAGCCAUUUUGCACAUCUCCUUCCCUAGCUGGCUAAACAGUGCGUGCUUUCACAGCACUGGUGCUGCUGCACAGCCAAGGCACCCUCCAGCAGCGCUUAUGUGGGCAUGACAGAGGGCUUAAAGCAUCUUGCCUUAGUGUCAUUUAUUUCACAGUGUCACCUCAGAUUCACACUUCUGACCUGAGAGGCAUUAGUGAAAGAAUUAAGAUCACCUAUGAAUAACUAAGAUCAGAUAUUAAUAACUAAUAACUACUAUGGUUUUAUUUCUAAUCACUUUCUGCAUUAUUUGUAUGGAAAUAGGCUGAGGCCUUUUGCUCCUGCCUCAGCGCUUAUGGGAUCUCCCCACUACAAAUUUAUAAUUUGCUUAUGGCAUAUUUCCCCAACAGACCUCAUUAAAAUUUCUAACUUUUUUUUUUUUUUCCUGAGGGAGGGUCUUGCUCUGUUGUCCAGGCUAGAGGGCAGUGGUGCUAUCACAGCUGACUGUAGCCAUGAUCUCCCAGGUUCAAGUGAUCCUCCCACCUCAGCUCCCCAGAUGGCUCAGACUAUAGGUGUUUGCCACUAUGCCCAACCAAUAUUUGGACUUUUCCUAUAUGUGGGUUCCAGAGGACUGACUGUGAAACCCAGUCAACUACAUCCACUUCCUAUACAACCCCACGUUCUAAGAAGAGAAGAGCGACUUCUCUGGUCCCAUUCCCGGACCAUAGAACCUUGCCCAGGAGCUGAAUAAAUUGGCUUUUACUUUUUUACUCUGGUCUCCGUUUCCUGAUUUAACUCGGCAAUAAACCUUACAGUGAGAUUACUGUGAGUCAUGGUAAAUGGACAUUCUCAUUGCCCUUGACAUAAAUUGACAGGGUUUUGGGUGCCUCCCAGCUAUAAUCCCAGCAUUACGUAUAAGGAGGGAGGCUAAGGCAGGAGGAUUGCUUGAGGCCAGCAGUAUGGUGAGACAUAGACAGUGACCAUCUCUACUAUUUUAAAAAAUUGCCAAGCUUUACCUUGGAAGGCUUACAUACAAUUUAAACACCCCCCAUAUAUAAGAAAAUGCCCAUUUUACUGUACCUUUACCAGCACAUGGUAUUAUAAUACGUUAUUUUAAAAGAUUGUUUAAAAUAGGUAAAAGACCUCAUGUUGUUUUAUUUAUUUGUCACAUUUCAACAUCUUUCCUUAGCUUAUUAGCUGUUUCUUUUCUGUCUGUAAAUGGUUGUCUUUUUUGUUUUGUUCUUUGAGACAGGGUCUUGCUCUGUCACCCAGGCUUGACUGUAGUGGUAUAAUCAUAACUCACUGUAACCUUGACCUCCCGGGCUCAUACUACCCUCCGUCUUCAGCUUCCUGAGUAGCUGGGACUACAAGUGUGCACCACCACACCCAGCUAUUUUUUUUCUUUUUUCAUAUAGAGACAGGGUCUUGCUGUGUUGCCCAGGCAGGUCUCUAGCUUCUGGCCUCAAGCGAUCCUCCUGUAUUGGCUUGUUAUGUUGCUGGAAUUUCAGGUAUAAGCCACCAUGCCUGGCCUUGGCUAGUCCUAUAUAUUCUCUAGAGUUCUCUUUACUUUGUGCUAGCCAAUUUCUCACUAUGCUGUUCCCCUGUUAUAGUGAGUAAUUCUCUGCAUUAAAUUUUACCACUUUAAACUUUUAAGUGGUUUAUGUCUCCUGAUUGGACUCUGACUAAUACAGAGUUGAUGCUCGAAGGGUCCCAGGAGACAGACCCAUGCAGAUGAUAUUUGGGCAUAGGUUUGGUUAUUCAAGGGGCAGUGCUGAGCUCCUUACCAAUGGGAAAUGGGAUGCUGGUUAUUUUCGAGAAUUGACCUUAUAAUGACUCAAGCUACCACUUACUGUUGAUUGUGAUGAAAUGCCAGCUCAGGCACAUGCUUUGGGAGCAAAGUGGUUGCUGCACUUGACCAACAUAAUGACUGACAUGGAAAGGGUCCUUUUGGGUGUACUUGAGCAGGGGUGCCCAGCCCCUGAGCCAUGGAGCUGUAAGGAGCCACGCAGCAGGAGGUGAGUGGUGUCUAGUUAGGGAAGCUUCGUUUGUAUUUACAGUCAUUCCCUGUUUCUCACAUUCCUGCCUGACCUCUGCCUUCUCUGAGAGCAGCCGCAGCAUUAGAUUCUCUUAGGAGCACGAAUUCUAUUGCAAACCAGGCAUGUGAGUGAUCAAGUUUGUGUGGUCCCUGUGAGAAUCUAAUGCCUGAUGAUCUGUCACUUUCUCCCAUCACACUCAGAUGGGACCAUCUAGUCGCAGGGAAACAAGCUUAACAUGCCUACUAAUUCUACAUUAUGGUGAGUUCUAUAAUUAUUUCAUUAUAUAUUACAAUAUAAUAAUGGAAAUAGUGUCCAAUAAAUGUAACGUGCUUGAAUAUUUUCGCUCCGCUCCUGCCUGCCGGCAGCCUCUCCAGACCUAGAACUUUUUCUAGUUGGCUAGAUGCCAAGCUCAUGGCUCACAAUGGUCUAUUUAGGCCCAUACCCUACCUCAUGGUAGUCUUUGCAGAUGAGGCUACUGCCUCACGGCAGCUUCCACAGGCCCAGGUUCAUCAUUACAAUGGCCUCUUUAGGCCCAGCUCCUGCCUCCCAGCAUUCUCUCCAGGCCCAGAACUUUCUCAAGUCGACCUCACCAGGCCCAGCUCCUGCCUCUCAUCGACCUCCCAAGGGACAGCGUUUGCUUUACGAUCACCUUCCAAGACCCAGCUCCUGUUUUUCAGUGGCCUCUUGAAGCCCAACUUUCACCUGUUAGUGGCUCAUGCAGGCCCAGCUCCUCCCUUACAAUGGCCUCUUUAUGGAUUCUCCAGGCCCAGUUUCGCCUCAUGGAGGUCUUCCCUGAAGAAGUUUCAACCUACCUCCUGGCAGCCUUGACAGGCCCACGUCCUGCCUCACACUAACCUCAGUAGGCCCAGCUAACAGUGGCCUCUGCAGGCCCAGCUCCUGUCCCCUGAUAGGCUGUUCAGGCCCAAAACUUCCUCAAGUUGGCACAGCUCAUGCCUCUCGGUGGCCUCUUCACACCCAUUUCCUGCAUCCUGGUGGCCUCACCAGACAACUUUCUCAAGUCUGCCAUUCCAGGUCCAAAUCCUGCCUCCUAUUGGCCUCUACGGGCCCAAACUCUGCCUCACAGCAAACUCUCCAUGCCCACCAUCUGCCUCGCUGCAGAGCCUACGUUCCAAGCUCUUGCCUUUCAUAGCCUUGACAGGCCCAGCUCCUGCCCCCUGACAUACUCUCCAGGCUGGAAUCUUCCUGAAGUCAGCCACCCCAGGCUGAGCACUUGCCUCACACUGGGCUCUUUGGGCCCAGCUUAUGCCUCUUGGCAGCCUCCCCAGGCGAAGCUACUACAUGCCAGCAGCCUCUCCAGGCUCAGCUGCUGGCUCCCGUCUGCUUCUACAGGCCUAACCUCUGCCUCACAGCAGACUCUUCAUGCCCAGCAUCUGCCUCACCAUGGGCCCACCAAGCCAAGCUCCUGCCUUUUGGCAGGCUCUACACGCCCAGUUCCUGCCACCCAAUGGCCUCACAGGGGUCUUUCCAGACCUAGCUUUUGCCUCAUGGCUAGGUUGCUGCCUGUCCCCCGGCAGCCUGGAUAGGCCCAGGUCUUGCCACACACUGGCCUCUCUAUGCAAAUCUUACACCUCACAAUAGCAUCUCCAGGUGCAGCUUUUGUCCCAGAAUGGUGUCUCCAGGCCAAAAGCUUCCUCAAGUCAGCCUCUCUAGGCCCACCUACUGCCUCCUGGUGGCCUCUGAACACCCAAAUCCUUCUCAAGUUGGCCUCUCCUGGCCCAGAUCCUGCCUCCCAUCGGCCUCUAAAAACCCAGCCUCUGCCUCAUGAUGGCAUCUCCAGACCCAACUAUAUGUCUUAGCUGACUAUACAGCACACCUGGUGCCUCAUAAAAACCUCUUUUGGCCCAGCUCCAGCCCAUUUGCCAUCAACCACUAUAGGCCCAAACUGUCCUUAAGUUCACCCCUCCAGGCCCAACAUCUGUCUCUCAGUGGCAUGUAAAGGCCCAGCUUUAGCUUGAGAACACCCUCUGCAGAACCCACACUUUACUUCUCAAAGCCUUUUGGAAGCCUCUCUGGACGGACACAGCUCAUGCCUCUUGCGGCCUCUCCGGGCCCAUGUGCUGCCUCCUGGCGUCCAGUUCAGGCCCUGCUCUACAUCAACAGGCCCACCUCCUACCUCACAAGAAACUCUGUCGACUCAACUCUUGCCCAGUUCCUGGUGGCCUUUGUAGGCCUGAAAGUUUCUCAAGUCAAGCUCUCCAGGCCCACCCAGCUCAUGCCUCAUGGUGGCCUCUCCAGGCUCAGCUCCUGCCCUCCGACAGCAUCUCCAGGCCCCAAACUUGCUCAAGUUUACUUCUUUUGACCUGGCUAUGGCCUCCUCCCGGUGGCCGCGGCAGGCCCAAAUGGCCGUGCAGUCAGCCUCUCCAGGCCCAGCUCCUGCCCUUCCAGUGGCCUCUCUGGGCACAAAUCUUUCUGACAUGGGCUCCCCCAGGGUCAGCUCCUGCCUCCCAGUGGCCUCCUUUGGCCCAACUCCUGCCUCCUGUUUGCAUCUCCAGGCUCAGUCUCUGCCUCCCUCAUGGCGGCCUCCCUAGGCCCAGCUCUUCCUCCUGGCCACGUCUAUAGCCCCAAGUCCUGCCACAUGACAGCCUCUUUUGGCUCGGCUCCUGGCCAGCUCCUGGCAGGCUUGCCUUUGUAGGCCUGAAGCUUUCUCAAGUGGAGCUUUCUAGGCCUAACGUUUGCCUCCUGGUGGCCUUGACAGGCCCAGCUCUGGCCUCCCUGCAGCCUCCCCA